AACUGUGUAAGACAGUUAAAAUAUUGAUAGGCGCAGCAAAACACCAUGUCACAUGUUUUCCUAUGUAACAAACCAGCACAUCCUGCACAUGUAUCCCAUAACUUAAAAUAAAAUAAAUUUAAU